rnacentral:tRNA from 1 species
GUACCUGUAGCUCAAUAGGAUAGAGCAACUGCCUUCUAAGCAGUAGGUUGCCAAAAGCAGGGUUUCUCUCAAAGAAAGAUUGUAAAGAAACAAGAUACA